UACGGGGGGAGCAAGCGUUGUUCGGAUUUACUGGGCGUAAAGGGCGCGUAGGCGGUCGUGACAAGUCACUUGUGAAAUCUCCGGGCUUAACUCGGAACGGUCAAGUGAUACUGUCGGACUAGAGUACAGAAGGGGCAACUGGAAUUCUCGGUGUAGCGGUGAAAUGCGUAGAUAUCGAGAGGAACACCAAUAGCGAAGGCAGCUCGCUGGGACGUUACUGACACUGAGGCGCGAAAGCGUGGGGAGCGAACAGG
rnacentral:rRNA from 1 species